CCUACGGGUGGCAGCAGUGAGGAAUAUUGGUCAAUGGCCGAGAGGCUGAACCAGCCAAGUCGCGUGAGGGAAGACGGCCCUACGGGUUGUAAACCUCUUUUGUCGGGGAGCAAAGCGAGGCACGUGUGACUCAUUGAGGGUACCCGAAGAAAAAGCAUCGGCUAACUCAGUGCCAGCAGCCGCGGUAAUACGGAGGAUGCGAGCGUUAUCCGGAUUUAUUGGGGUUAAAGGGAGCGCAGGCGGGGGGGCAAGUCAGCGGGAAAAUUGAGGGGCUCAACCCCUUCCCGCCAUUGAAACUGGCGAUCUUGAGUGGAAGAGAAGUAUGCGGAAUGCGUGGUGUAGCGGUGAAAUGCAUAGAUAUCACGCAGAACCCCGAUGGCGAAGGCAGCAUGCCGGCUUCCUACUGACACUGAAGCACGAAAGCGUGGGGAUCGAACAGGAUUAGAUACCCUUGUAGUC
rnacentral:rRNA from 1 species